CUUGUCUCUUUAAAUCAACUUCAGUUCUACUGGAAGUGAAACCAUGGGUAAGGGGCAGUACUGUAUGAGGAUUGGUUAGCAAGAGGAUUUCAUAGGAGGUGAGGCAAAUAACUGACAGGAGUUGAAUAUGAUGCGAGUUUAGAAAGGUUUCUACUGAAUAAGGUAUGAGUUAGAAGGGAUUCCCAUGGUUAUUUCUUCAGGCACCUUGUCUCAAAGAACAGUGGCAGGAAUGGCUCUGAGGCAGAGGGUGGGGAGUGCUCUUGUGCCACAGGGUCUAGAUGUUGGCUAUAAUACCCUAUGGGCCAAUGAUGGUUCCCAGGUUUGGGAGUGAGUACCCCAAGGGCAUUCUUCUCUUUUUCAUUACACACAAAGGAAAAUGGGAAGUUGAUAAUUGAGAUGUUCAAGACCAGGGGGAUUUAUUCGAUUUUCAUUUAAGACUUUAAAGACUAAGUUGUCUUGAUAUUAGUAAAUAACAGGGUUUCAGGUUUGUUGAUUUUUAGUAAGCAUACAGAGAUUGGGCCAUAGGAGAAGAGUUUGAGGGGGCACGUGGGUGGCUCCAUUGGUUGUGCGUCCAACUCUUGAUUUCAGCUCAGGUCAUGAUCUCCCAGUCAUGAGAUCAUGCCUUGCAUUGGGCUCUAGGCUGGGUGUGGAACCAACGUAAGGUUUCUCUUUCCCUUCUUGUCUACUCUUCCCCUGCUCACGUGUGUGCUUUCUCUCAAAAAAUGAGAAGCUUGGAAUAGAAUUUUAAUAAUGAGGCAGCCGAAGAGAACCUUGUUAAUUGAUGCUUAGAUGUGCUUUUUGAAAAGUUCAGGAUGCCAUGAUGCCUGUUUAGAUUGAAACAUAAACCUUGUGCCAAAAUUAGGUGCUCUAAAUAGCAAACUGAGUUUGAACGAACUGCAGUUUUUCCUUGGAUGCUUUAUGUCCCUGUAAGGUAAAAGUUUUAAUAGGUGGAUGCCGUCUUCUUGUGAAGAGGCUUGAAAAAGGAGCAGGGAAGCAAGUCAUCUCCAUAUUGUAACAGAAUAGAACUUCUAGGAAAUUUUAUAUGAUCUAGAUCCGCUUUUAAGAUUUGUGAAAAGUAUGAAGGAUUUACAGUAGCACUUCGGGGCAGUCCAGUCCAGGUGUAUUGUCCUUCCCAAGUGAAGGCAAAGAGAUAGUAUCUUGCCUUAUCCACUGGAAUACUAAGGAAGACACUCUAUAUAUAUAGAGCAACCAUGGUGAAAAAUUUGCUUUCAGUAGUGAUAGAGGCCAACAAAGUAUGGAGAUUGGGAACAACAGAGCCGUGAAAGAUGACAAUGCUGUUUAUGACUUGGGAGGUCUGUAGCUGUUUUGUUUUUCAUUUUGUUUGUUUGUUUCUUUUUAUCUGGUAAAGUUAGGGCUGUUGCAGGGACUGGUACAGGGGAUAAGGAGGUCUUAGGCCUUAAUAGUCUUCCGUUGUGGGCUUAAUGCCCAGAAGGGCUUCCUCAUUUGUAGGGUAUUGAUUAAUUCUAGGGAGAGGCUUUGAGAGAUCUUGUUGUAUCUUAAUAGGAGGUACACUGUGGAUUCUGCCAAUAACAGUUCAAGGUUCUGCCCAUAAGAAGAGUGGUAGCUGGUUCAAUAGAGACAAAUGAUCAUUGUCUUUGUAAUUAGCUCUAGUGCCAUCAGAGACAUAACAAAUAAAACAUAUUGAAGAUCAUUCAGUUCACUUAUUUGGCUAUUUUGGUUGCUGUUUUCAAAUUCUAGAAUUAUUUUCCCCUUUCAGGAGAAAGAAAUUCCAACAUAUUUUUCCGAGAAAUAUCAGUCCAGUCAAUAGGGAUGAAAGAGCUACAGGGAAAAGGGUAGAUAUCUCUUGGCCUAACCAAAAGAGAACAGGUUUAGAGCUAGGAACCUGUUGAGUUUUAUUGGAGACCCAUACUAUUUUAAUUGUUUUAAUACUCUACAGCAGGCGCUGUUUAAUAACGGUGGGGUUGAGCACUGAGUAUAACUUCAGUGUCCAUUAGGAUAGAGAGGCAUUCGUUCCCAAUCUGGAGAGUGGUUUCUCUGAGCCGAUUAAAGGGAAGGAUUGGGAAAAACGUCUAUCGUUCCUUGCAGUUCUGACAUUAGGGAUUGACAGGGCACUGGAAAGGAUGGUUAGAGAGUUGAAGGUGCCUGGAGCCCUUAAAUCUGCAGCAGUCUUUCUUCCAGUGUCCUGGCUUUUUACAAUAAUGGCAGAGACCAGGAGUUGUGGGUUUGUUUUGUUUGUUUAGGGGCCUCCAUUUGUUGGAGCUGAAAGUCAGGGAUUUUAGUGGUGUUCCUUUUAGUUGAAUGAUCCAGGGUGCAAGGGAGCUGGCUUACUAAAUUAACUAAAUCUGGAGUGGACAUAGUUUCCCAUUCCAUCAUCCUGGUCCUUUUAACUAGAAGAGGAAGAUCCUGGUUCAGUCCAUUAAUGAACAGAAUUAAAGGCUACCCCGAUGAAUUCAGCACUUAAAGGAAGACUAGAAUUUUCUCUAAAAACAGUUUGGAAUUGGCUGCAGUAAUCAUGCAUGGUUUUAUUUGGCUUCUUUAUAUAGGCCUCAGUCUUGCUCCAUUCGACUGUCUCACAGUUAUGUUUGAAUCAGCUCUGUUCUUUCUUUAUCAAGUGGCUACAAAUGACCCAUUUCAUCCCCCAUGUGACAGUUGCUUGGGUUAGGGGAUGUGGGUGGUAGCUUCCAACUUUGUAUUUGCAGUACCUGGUAUGUAGGGAAUAGGCCCACAGAAUUUGUCUGAUGAUGGUUGCAUUUGCUUGUGGGCUUACUGCUGCAUAGAAUGUCCUUAUUUGCUUCCGUGUAUUCUUUAAGUUAGCCCAUUGAGAAUAUUGGGACUCUUAAUGAACCUCUCCAUUCCAUGUCCUCUACAGGAAUUCCUUGCCACUCCAGCUGUGAUGUGGAAGUGCCUUGUUCAGGCCUCUUAUGACUCCUCUUACAUUUUCACUGGGUGUAGGCUUAACUGCAGUUCUCUUUUUUACCUUGUGGGUCCUUCUCAGUUACAGUGUUGAUUACUUAGCUUUGGAUUUUUUAUGCAGAGCUCUGUGCCUUUCACAUAGAUAUUCAAGUAUUGGAAGAGUUGGGUUACUUUUCCCAAACUAGUUUUUUUAAAGUUUACUUUGUUUUUUCUGUCGUGCCCCUGAAAUUGUUCAUUUAUUCAUCAGUAGAGAUAGAAUAGUAAUUUUUAAGCAGGUUUCUAACCCACGGCCUUGAGAGCUAAAUCUGAUUUGUUCUUAAUUUAUCUACAUUACUGGAGGGAAUAGCAGUUAUAUAAGUAAUCAAAACCAUUGUGAUAUCCAAGUGUUUUUUUGUUCUGUUACUUAAUUUUCAGAUUUCUUUCUUUUGUCCUAAUUGUUUUAAAACCAAAAUGUGUGUGUUUUCAUAAAGAAGGGACUGAAGUUUACUUUCUAACUAGCAUAGUGAUUCUUCCAGAAGAAUUCUUGAGCCCAGGGAACUUGGGGAGAGUGAAAGAGGCCAGAGAUUUAAAAAGCCAGGAAUGGAAUUGGUUUGGACAUAUGGAAAGGUUUGGAAACCAAGAGUGGGUGAGUCCAGCAUUUUCGUUUAUAAGCAUACCAAUUUCUAAAAAUAAUAAUCAUACCAAUCUUUGGAUGCAAAAAUUUGAACUACUUACUAGUACCUUUUUUUAAAAACCUCCAAGAAGUUUUGAGAUUUUGAAUACCCCAUGAUCCUCUUUGGUGAGGGUUGCAUACUUUAUUUUUUUAACAGUGUGAACAUCCUUGAGGUCUUUCUGCCAAAAGCUAUGUACUUUUUUUUUUUGAGUUUUCACUUUAAUAUAGAUAUUAGAAAAAUAUAGGUGAGUGAAAAAUACGUAAUUCAUGAUACACCCAUUCAUUCAUUUAUUGAGUGCUAAGUAUGUGCCAGACACUGUUUUAAACACUAGGAAUACACUGGUGAGCAACCCAAAACUGCCUGCCUUUAUAGAUAUUAGCUCAUGAGAGAAAUAAUCAAAGUGUAUGUUAAAUGAUGUUAGUGCUAAGGAAGAAAACUAAAUGUUUGAAGAGGACAGAUUUGAGAUAGAGUAGGGGAGUCUGGAUCAUGUAGGGCCUUCAGGGAAUACAGAUGAGAUCAUGGUUGCCAGGCUAGAGCUUGUUGUAGCUGAAUAUAAAACCCUGUUCUCACUCAAAAUUCAAUCAGUUGUCAGUCUUUUUGAAAAUUUUCUAAUUUUUAUCAAAUAUAUAUACAGUCAAGUCAAAUUUACUUUAUAAAUCUAAUACGGAUUGUUGUGGAGUUUUACUCUGAAUACCUGAAAGUAUUGAGGUGAAUGAAUUUCAUUUCUGGUACAGGACUUCAUGGGUAAAUGGGAAGCCCUCAGUCUCAGUUCUCGCCUUACGUCUGCCCUUUCCUCCUCACACAUUAAAUUACAGCAGUAUCACAUUUUAGUGUAGUCUUUGUUUAGCAAAGCUAUUUCUUGUCUGGAAUAUAAGUACAGUUUAUAGCAGAAGAGAUACGGAGUCAAAAUUGAAUUAAAUAGAAUGACUGGUUGUGAACAGGGACUUAAGAAUAAGUGUGAUAUGGGAAGAUCGUCGUGUGGGGAAAGAGUGGGGCGAUGGGGAUAACGCAUACAUAUGCAUCUUACAAGCUAGGAAUGUUAAAAUCAACUUACGGCACAUGGUCUCAGCUGCCCAUCCAACCUUGUCUCUCCCUGCCCUUGCAACACAGUCCCGCUUCUGUGUGAGGCAGCAGUGUCCCCGCCCCAGGAGAGAGGCUGGCUGCUUGCUUUCUCAGACCCUCCAGUGGCUUGGGGUGCCCUAGACUAUGCGAUUCACACUGAAGUCUACUGGGGGGCUGAGAAAACUCCUGCUUUUCCUAAUUAAAGGGAAGUCGUGCUUGGCACUGCUCAACCCCUUCUGACUUCGUACUCGAAUGCAUGGUUGAUGUUUUGGAGCUGGAAGGAAAGGCCAAAAAAAUCAGCGAUGCUGGCCACCGAGCCAGUGCCUGCAGCCACCUCCUUCCGUAUCGGCUACUGUGCAGAAAAACAAAUCCUUUUUGUUUCAGUCACUGUGGGUGUAGUUUUCUGCCACUGACAUUCCUAAUCCACACAAACACGUUGCCUGCAUUUGACUUGUCCACCAGAGGGUCCACCAAGCACAAUAUAAGCAACUAAAACACAGAAAAAAUAAUUCAGCUUUACGGUCUAAGAAAAGAAUCAGAUGCAGGCAAAGCUGUAAAAGGCUAAACUGGUCAUCACUGAAUUAUUUCUAUAUUCAAAUAAUUACUUUGAAUUAUUAUUUGAAAUAGUGAAAAAUUAAAGAUGGCUGAAGUAUUCAAGAGCAAAAGACUUAAAUUAUAAUCAUCUGAUGACGUAUAAUACCUCCAUUAUCAUCUACAUUUUAGAAUAACUAAAGUUAGGUGAAAUUAAUAAGAAUGUAGAGCAAUAUAACUUCAGUUAUGAAAAGGAAACCACACAUCCCCGUGCAUUAAAAAAAUUCACCAAAACAUUAACAUUAGCUAUCUGUGGAUUAUGCAAUUGUGGAUGAUUUUCUUCUCCAUUCUAUGUAAUUCCCCAAUUUUCUACCAUGGCUACGUAUUGUUUCUAAAUAUCAGGAAAAAAAAUAACCUUGUUUUUAAAGAACCCCAGAAAUGUACUGCAAACUUAUGAUUAGAUCUACAUCAGCUAUGUUAGGAGAGCUGGCUCUUCUGGAAGGCAGGAGAAAAGAACCAGCUCUAUGUCCACUUAAGGAGGAAAUGUAAAGGCUUGUGCAUUACAGAAACUGAGUCACAGGACUAUAAAAAAUGGUAAUGCAAUAAGAAGUUCAAGGGUCAGGGUGCCUGGGUGGCUCAGUCAAUUAAGCAUCGGACUUCAGCUCAGGUCAUGAUCUGGCGGUUCAUGG